rnacentral:rRNA from 1 species
AGAGUUUGAUCCUGGCUCAGAGCGAACGCUGGCGGCGUGCUUAACACAUGCAAGUCGAACGAGGUCUGUAGCAAUACAGAUACUCGUGGCGAACGGGUGCGUAACACGUGGAUAACCUUCCUUCAGGUGGGGAAUAACCCAGUGAAAAUUGGGCUAAUACCGCAUUAUAUGACGAUGGCUCAUGCUGUUGUCUUCAAAGCCGCAAGGCGCCAGAAGAGGGAUCCGCGGCCGAUUAGCUUGUUGGCGAGGUAAUGGCUCACCAAGGCAAUGAUCGGUAGCCGGUCUGAGAGGAUGAUCGGCCACACUGGAACUGAGACACGGUCCAGACUCCUACGGGAGGCAGCAGUGGGGAAUCUUGCGCAAUGGACGAAAGUCUGACGCAGCAACGCCGCGUGGGGGAUGAAGCUUCUCGGAGUGUAAACCCCUUUCGACCCGGACGAAUGCCCGCAAGGGUUUGACGGUACGGGUAUAAGAAGCCCCGGCUAACUACGUGCCAGCAGCCGCGGUAAAACGUAGGGGGCCAGCGUUGCUCGGAAUUACUGGGCGUAAAGGGUCCGUAGGCGGUGUGGCAAGUCGGAAGUGAAAUCUCUGGGCUUAACCCAGAGGCUGCUCCCGAAACUGCUGUGCUAGAGUGCGAGAGAGGCGAGUGGAAUUGCGGGUGUAGCGGUGAAAUGCGUAGAUAUCCGCAGGAACAUCCGAGGCGAAAGCGGCUCGCUGGAUCGCAACUGACGCUGAGGGACGAAAGCUAGGGGAGCAAACAGGAUUAGAUACCCUAGUAGUCC